GGACGCUUAGCUCAGUUGGUUAGAGCACCUGCCUUACAAGCAGGGGGUCAUAGGUUCGAGUCCUAUAGCGUCCACCA
rnacentral:tRNA from 2 species